rnacentral:rRNA from 1 species
GCGCGACAGGAUGUGGCUGCGGCCGAUUAGGUAGACGGUGGGGUAACGGCCCACCGUGCCAGUAAUCGGUACGGGUUGUGAGAGCAAGAGCCCGGAGACGGUAUCUGAGACAAGAUACCGGGCCCUACGGGGCGCAGCAGGCGCGAAACCUUUACACUGCACGCCAGUGCGAUAAGGGGACUCCAAGUGCGAGGGCAUAGCGCCCUCGCUUUUCUGAACCGUAAGGUGGUUCAGGAACAAGUGCUGGGCAAGACCGGUGCCAGCCGCCGCGGUAAUACCGGCAGCACGAGUGAUGGCCGCUGUUAUUGGGCCUAAAGCGUCCGUAGCUGGCCAAGCAAGUCUAUCGGGAAAUCUCCCCGCCUAACGGGGAGGCGUCCGGUGGAAACUGCCUGGCUUGGGACCGGAAGACCNNAAGGGUACGUCCGGGGUAGGAGUGAAAUCCCGUAAUCCUGGACGGACCACCGGUGGCGAAAGCGCUUNGGNAAGACGGAUCCGACGGUGAGGGACGAAAGCUCGGGUCACGAACCGGAUUAGAUACCCGGGUAGUCCGAGCUGUAAACGAUGUCUGCUAGGUGCGCCACAGGCUACGAGCCUGUGGUGUGCCGUAGGGAAGCCGUGAAGCAGACCGCCUGGGAAGUACGUCCGCAAGGAUGAAACUUAAAGGAAUUGGCGGGGGAGCACUACAACCGGAGGAGCCUGCGGUUUAAUUGGACUCAACGCCGGACAUCUCACCAGCAUCGACAGUAGGAGUGACGGUCAGUGUGAUGAGCUUACCAGACCUACUGAGAGGAGGUGCAUGGCCGCCGUCAGCUCGUACCGUGAGGCGUCCUGUUAAGUCAGGCAACGAGCGAGACCCGCACUCCUAAUUGCCAGCAACACCCUUGUGGUGGUUGGGUACAUUAGGAGGACUGCCAGUGCCAAACUGGAGGAAGGAACGGGCAACGGUAGGUCAGUAUGCCCCGAAUG